UGAAAGGCCAUCUCCCAGCAGAUAGCACAUUU
rnacentral:piRNA from 1 species